rnacentral:rRNA from 1 species
CCUGAGAAACCCAAAAGAUCGAAUGAGGAGAUUCAUCGUCAGCUCAUUUUGUAUAUAUUUGAGUUAUGAUGCGAGUUACUACUUGUAGUAUUGCUUGUACAUUCUUAUAUAUUUAGUUGCAUUAUGUUGUCGGCGUGCACUUCUUCUCUAGUAGAACGUCGCGACCCGUUGGGUGCUGGUUUACGGCUUAGGUGGUAGCCUUUAAUAUAUUAGUAUAUUAAAGACCAUUUAUGUUUCCUAACCGGCUAUCUGGCGGUAUUCGUACGAUAUUAAGCCGCAAUUUUAUUUGCGUCCAUUCCCGUCGCAAGCGAGGUCAAUUACUGAUAGUAUGGACCUAGUGCCGUCGUUAGUAUUGACCAGCUGUUGGUAGUUACGGUGAUCUGGGACUGGCUAAAAAGUUAUUAUCGGUCGGCGAUGCUACUGCUUUGGGUACUUUCAGGACCCGUCUUGAAACACGGACCAAGGAGUCUAACAUGUGCGCAAGUCAUUGGGAUUUUUUUAAAAUUAAACCUAAAGGCAUAAUGAAAGUAAAGGUCGUCUUUACGUCAACCGAGGGAGGAUAAGUUGUAUUAUGAUUCAGCUUCGCACUCCCGGGGCGUCUCAUUCUUAUUGCAAGAAGAGGCGCACUUAG